CUUUCAACAGACACAUCACGCCACGAUCCCCUUCCUGUUCCCCGCGCACGAGCGGGCGCGCAGCCGCCGCCGCCUUCCUCGCUGAGUCCGCGGCCGAACUCCACGCCGGGAGCAGCGGUAUACAUCCCUCCGUCGCCUCCCUCUCCCUCGAGCCUCGAACUGCUCGGCAGCCUUCCUCCCGUCCCAAGUCCAGGAGAUGCAUGGGGACCACGGCGGCAUGGAGACCAUCGUCGCAUGGGAAUACGAGCACCGGCGGGAUGGAGACCAUCGUCUCCCUCAACCGCCUCGCCGGCGUUCAAUAAUUUGUCGCCGGAUCCUAUCGUCGGCAUCCGUAACUGCAAGAACCGGACGUCCCCUGUGCCCUAGCAGUGGUCACUCUCGAUCUCCCUCUCCCGAACGACCCAGACAGAAGGUGCACAAGGCCAUGGUCGGUUGCGCCGGCGAUGGGGUUGGUGCACACAAUAGUGACGUCAACCUGACUGCUGGCUGUUAAGCAUCGUCUUCAACGUCCAUACUACCACAUAUCUUAUUUAGUUUGACCUUCCCUGAGGAUGAGGGCUUCGUGUCUCACAUGGUAGUGUUCUCUCCCAAUCUCAUGAGGCUACCACAAUCAUAAGCCAUCGUGUUCAUUAGGGAAAUAGAGGUCCAGGAAAAGAAGAUGGUUUGGGGAAACACAAACAUGCUGAGGCAUAGUAAAGCUGCAGAUCUAAAUGCGUGGACAAUAUCUCCUGCAGUUUUGAUUCAUUUUUAUUCAGGUAACUGCUCCAGGUGAGAAUGAUGUGCUACUGCUCAUGCCAAAGGCUGUGAUACAUUUUUUUUAUGAUAGUAUGAAUUGAUUGAUGAUGCAGCACAAGUAGCACAAGUUCUGCAGUAUCCAUUUCAGUAAGAAGUUUGCAUUGAGUAAUUCUUUUAAAGAAGAAGCUUACAAUGCACAACUAGCUAGCGAAUACUUCAUUCUUCAGUGAAAGACAUAGCAUAUAAUUACCUUGAGCACAUCAAUACAAGAUUUUCUAGCAUCAAGUAUUGUUCAUGGUUCACUCAUAAUGUGUGUUCUGUCCACUUUUCAAUUUAAUUUUAUUAAGAUUUCUGGUUAUCACUGCAGGAGUUGCACCAGAGUCAACAAGGGAAGUCAGCAUUGCAGACUCUGUUAACUGUUCCAGAUUUUAUCAACAUUAAAUGGUGCAUUGCCAUUGACAGGAGGGGAUGCAGCGCUGGAAAUAACUCAUCGUAGUAAUUAGCUCAUUAUUGUAUAUUGUCAGUUAUACUUCUCUUCAUAUAUACUACGACAUCACGUUUCCCUC